rnacentral:rRNA from 1 species
ACGGGUGAGUAAACGUGAGUAACCUGCCCUUGACUCUGGGAUAAGCCUGGGAAACUGGGUCUAAUACCGGAUACGACCGAUCACCGCAUGGUGUGGUGGUGGAAAGCUUUUGCGGUUUUGGAUGGACUCGCGGCCUAUCAGCUUGUUGGUGGGGUAAUGGCCUACCAAGGCGACGACGGGUAGCCGGCCUGAGAGGGUGACCGGCCACACUGGGACUGAGACACGGCCCAGACUCCUACGGGAGGCAGCAGUGGGGAAUAUUGCACAAUGGGCGAAAGCCUGAUGCAGCGACGCCGCGUGAGGGAUGACGGCCUUCGGGUUGUAAACCUCUUUCAGUAGGGAAGAAGCGAAAGUGACGGUACCUGCAGAAGAAGCGCCGGCUAACUACGUGCCAGCAGCCGCGGUAAUACGUAGGGCGCAAGCGUUAUCCGGAAUUAUUGGGCGUAAAGAGCUCGUAGGCGGUUUGUCGCGUCUGCUGUGAAAGACCGGGGCUCAACUCCGGUUCUGCAGUGGGUACGGGCAGACUAGAGUGAUGUAGGGGAGACUGGAAUUCCUGGUGUAGCGGUGAAAUGCGCAGAUAUCAGGAGGAACACCGAUGGCGAAGGCAGGUCUCUGGGCAUUAACUGACGCUGAGGAGCGAAAGCAUGGGGAGCGAACAGGAUUAGAUACCCUGGUAGUCCAUGCCGUAAACGUUGGGCACU